CAGAGGCAAUUAAUUCACUCAGGUGCGAGUGGGUAUACUGUCGUGUGACCACGAAUUUUAAUAGAAGAAUUGAUCAAGCCCUAGAUCGACUGCGCGGAGGGAAACUGAUCAAUAUUCUGUGCUGUCUCUGCUGUCCUUU